UGGGGAAUUUUGGACAAUGGGCGCAAGCCUGAUCCAGCCAUGCCGCGUGCGGGAAGAAGGCCUUCGGGUUGUAAACCGCUUUUGUCAGGGAAGAAAUCUUCUGAGUUAAUACCUCGGGAGGAUGACGGUACCUGAAGAAUAAGCACCGGCUAACUACGUGCCAGCAGCCGCGGUAAUACGUAGGGUGCAAGCGUUAAUCGGAAUUACUGGGCGUAAAGCGUGCGCAGGCGGUUUUGUAAGACAGAGGUGAAAUCCCCGGGCUCAACCUGGGAACUGCCUUUGUGACUGCAAGGCUUGAGUGCGGCAGAGGGGGAUGGAAUUCCGCGUGUAGCAGUGAAAUGCGUAGAUAUGCGGAGGAACACCGAUGGCGAAGGCAAUCCCCUGGGCCUGCACUGACGCUCAUGCACGAAAGCGUGGGGAGCAAACAGGAUUAGAUAGCCCUGGGUAGUCCACGCCCUAAACGAUGUCAACUGGUUGUUGGGAAGGUUCCUUCUCAGUAACGUAGCUAACGCGUGAAGUUGACCGCCUGGGGAGUACGGCCGCAAGGUUGAAAC
rnacentral:rRNA from 1 species